GAGAUACAGUUCUGGGCCUAGUGUUUGAGAGAUACAGUUCUGGGCCUAGUGUUUGAGAGACACAGUUCUGGGUCUAGUGUUUGAGAGACACAGUUCUGGGCCUAGUGCUCACAUCAAUCAAUAAGUCACCAUGUGUGUCUGAUAAAUUAACAGCUUUAAUGGCAGAGGCUUUGCAGUGAGUGAUGCAUUCUAGUCAAGUGAUGUGUGUGUAUGAUUGUGUGCAUGAAUGUGUGUGUAGGGGGUUGUAUCGCAGGCAGGCACACACACACACACACACACACACACACAAACUUAAUCAAACAACGUUUAGAGCAAUCCCUCAGACUGUAACUGUAAGGUUCCAGUCUGAAACCCCCAGAGAAAUCAAAUAUUAAUUUAGACGAGAGCCACUGCUCAAUAUCGACUCUCCAAUCGAUGUGUGCGUGUGUGCAUGCAAGGAGAGAAAAAGAGAUGCAGGACAAACAAGAGAUUGAGUGAAGAGAAAAAGAGUCAGAGAGGAAGAAAGAGAGAAAAAGAUGAGUCCCUAGGACUCCAGCCUCAAUCACAGAAGUUUGAUCAAAGUUCUCUGUUUCAGUAUACAUUUCUGAACAGCAGGCCCGAUUCAAACAGCUCAACUGCAUGCACAGUAGGGGGGAAGACAAUCAGUGUAGCGCUCCCUUUUCAUCGAGAAAUGAUGAGAAUACAAGCUAUAGCGGCCUUCAUUCUCCUCCAGUCACAAAGCAACUGGUCUGUGAUUGCCCUGGACCCCUCGUUAGGCACCAAGAGCCUGUCCAAUCAACUCCAUCAUUCCACUACAGUGCAUGUGUGUGGGUGUUUUGUGUGUGUGAUGUCUGAAGACAGACACAAAUUGGCAAUCAGGUAACGCUAUCAUGGAUUGGACUUUCCUCAGAGGGAUCCUGACUCCAAUACCUUCUUCCUUUCCUCUCCUCCAUCUCCUCGUCGCUCCGGAGCGGCUCCAGCUCGACCCUGACAGGUUCUCCUGACAACUUAUUACCAUACAAUUACACGAGCUCUCUCUCUCUCUCUCUCUCUCUCUCUCUCUCUCAAUCACUAAAGUUUCUCACUUGUCUUAACCCUCAAUCCCUGUCUCUCCCUCUCUCUUUCUCACCCCUCCUCUUUUAUCACUAUCUCUAUCCACUUCUAUCAAUCUUUAUUGGUUCCCAUCUCCUAGGCCCAAAUAGAGCAUUAGAGUACAUGGCUCACUUUAAUCUGCAUUAGGGAAGAGAUGAGAGGGCAAUGAGGAGAGGAGGAGAGAGGAGAAGGUGAGGAGGAGAGAGGAGAAGGUGAGGAGGAGAGAGGAGAAGGUGAGGAGGAGAGAGGAGAAGGUGAUGAGGAGAGGAGGAGAAGGUGAUGAGGAGAGGAGGAGAGAGGAGAAGGUGAUGAGGAGAGGAGGAGAGAGGAGAAGGUGAUGAGGAGAGAGGAGAAGGUGAUGAGAGGAGGAGAAGGUGAUGAGAGGAGAAGGUGAUGAGAGGAGGAGAGAGGAGAAGGUGAGGAGGAGAGAGGAGAAGGUGAUGAGGAGAGGAGAAGAUGAUGAGGAGAGGAGGAGAAGGUGAUGAGGAGAGGAGGAGAGAGGAGAAGGUGAUGAGGAGAGAGGAGAAGGUGAUGAAAGGAGGAGAGAAGAGAAGGUGAUGAGGAGAAGGUGAUGAGGAGAGGAGAAGGUGAUGAGGAGAGAGGUGAAGGAGAGGAGGAGAGAGGACAGGGUGAUGAGGAGAGAGGAGAAGGUGAUGAGGAGAGAGGAGAAGGUGAUGAGAGGAGGAGAGAGGAGAAGGUGAUGAGGAGAAGGUGAUGAGGAGAGGAGGAGAGAGGAGAAGGUGAUGAGGAGAGGAGCAGAGAGGAGAAGGUGAUGAGUUGGAGAAGGCGAUGAGGAGAGGAGGAGAGGAGAAGGCGAUGAUGAGAGAAGGAGAGAGGAGAAGGUGAUGAGGAGAGGACGAGAGAGGAGAAGGUGAGGUGAUGAGGAGAGGAGAAGGUGACGAGGAGAGGAGAAGGUGAUGAGGAGAGGAGGAGAAGGUGAUGAGGAGAGGACGAGAGAGGAGAAGAUGAUGAGGAGAGGACGAGAGGAGAAGGUGAUGAGGAGAGGACGAGAGAGGAGAAGGUGAUGAGGAGAGGACGAUAGAGGAGAGGAGGAGAGAGGAGAAGGUGAUGAGGAGAGAGGAGAAGGUGAUGAGGAGAGGAGCAGAGAGGAUAAUGUGAUGAGGAGGAGAAGGUGAUGAGGAGAGGAGGAGAGGAGAAGGCAAUGAUGAGAGGAGGAGAGAGGAGAAGGUGAUGAGGAGAGGAGGAGAGAGGAGAAGGUGAUGAGGAGAGGACGAGAGAGGAGAAGGUGAUGAGGAGAGGAGGAGAGAGGAGAAGGUGAUGAGGAGAGGACGAGAGAGGAGAAGGCGAUGAGGAGAGGACAAGAGAGGAGAAGGUGAGGUGAUGAGGAGAGGAGAAGGUGAUGAGGAGAGGAUGAGAGAGGAGAAGGUGAUGAGGAGAGGACGAGAGAGGAGAAGGUGAGGUGAUGAGGAGAGGAGAAGGUGAUGAUGAGAGGAGGAGAGAGGAGAAGGUGAUGAGGAGAGGAGGAGAGAGGAGAAGGUGAUGAGGAGAGGAGGAGAGAGAGA
ensembl:lncRNA